AAGAUUUUAUUCAUCUAAAAGAAAAUCAAAUACGUUUAAUCAUCCAGGCAUAUAUACCUGGAAACAUGGGAAUACAAGACACUACAAGUAUGUUUAAGCUUUGAUUUAGUUUUUGUGCUCGUUACGUGUUUGACGAAAUGCCCCUUUGGGAUUUUCGCUUGUUUGUUUGGUCGAUCGGUUUCUUGUUUAGCCUGGUUUUACUUCGUGCUUGCAACCUGUUUGAUGAAAUGCCCAUGUGAAUGUUUGGUUUGUAGCUGGAGGACAUGGAGCUGGAUGCCUCGUCGGAGGCGGCGGCAGUGGAGCUUUACUUUGUUAAAUCGAAAGUCACUUUUGGAGGUGAUCAAGCAAACAGUGCUGGACCAUCUCACCAAGAAAUGCCCUCCGCAU